CUCCUCCUUCUUCCUUUCCUCAUCCGAAGAAGAAGACGAAACGAUUCUACAGAUCAUUGUCCACCACCACCACCACCACACCACCACCACCACCACCAAUUACAAACUAAAACGCUUACUCCAUCCGUUUCACCGCUCCCUCUCCGUCCUCCUCCACCACUCCGGGUCCAUCAGCAGGUCCAGACACUCCCCUACCACGCCCCUAACUGCCACCACCACCACUGCCACCGCCGCCUCAGAAAUACUAGAAGAAAUGGAACUUUUUGCGAGAGGAUUAAUGUUUGUGUUUCGCCAAAGUUGUCUCCCCUAUGAAGGUCUGGCGGUGUUCCUAGCAAGGGUCCAGCGGUUGCAGUUGAGGGGGUGGGGGGAGGCGGCGAGGCACGUGUGGGAGGGGGAGGUGGGGGAGGGGUGUGCCAGAGUGUGGGGGGUGCAAGUAGCAAGCCCCCGGGAUGGUGACAAAGUUAGGGCCGUGGUCGGAGUGUGGAAGGGGCUCAUCGCUAACACACUACCACUGCUGCUACUGAUGCUGGCCCCGUUGUUAGAGGCGCGUGAAAUUCGGCAGCAGUUAUUUAUGGGUUUCCGAGAUAAAGUGUUGCCAUAUGCCGGUCUGCCACUUCUACUGUCACCACCACCACCACCACCACCACCACCACUGCCACUGCCACCACCACCACUGCCACUGCCACGUUCUCUACUCUGUCACUAUCAAACGGUUCUGCAAAUGGCCCUUCGACUCGCUAGUGUUGGUCCCUGCACGUGUCACCUCAAGGAAGAAGAAGAGGAGGAGGAGGAGGAGGAGGAGGAGGAGGAGGAGGAGGAGGAGGAGGAAGGAAGGAAGAGGAGACACACAUGGAGAGAAAAUGACAACGAAGCGGUUAGGAUCAUCAAGGCGAUGGAGAGAAGGAGAGAAGACGGAGGAAUGGAGGAAAAAAUUCUCUCCAACCUCCUUCACCUUCACCACGGUCCUAACUCCCACCACUGUCCUAACUUCCACCACCACCACCACCACCACCACCACCGACGCCACCACCACUACCACCACCGCCACCCUCUCCACUUAAUAGAAGGUACCCCGGUCCUAACUUCCCGUCCCGCCUCGUUCCUAACUUUGGAUGAUUUGAUAAAGACCGCCGCACGACGCUGAGUUAGGAACGUAGAACAAGAAGAAGAAGAAGAAGAAGAAGAAGAGGA